CCUACGGGUGGCGGCAGUGGGGAAUAUUGGACAAUGGGCGAAAGCCUGAUCCAGCCAUGCCGCGUGUGUGAAGAAGGCCUUCGGGUUGUAAAGCACUUUCAGUGGGGAAGAAAGCCUUGGGGCUAAUACCCUCGAGGAAGGACAUCACCCACAGAAGAAGCACCGGCUAACUCCGUGCCAGCAGCCGCGGUAAUACGGAGGGUGCGAGCGUUAAUCGGAAUUACUGGGCGUAAAGCGCGCGUAGGCGGUCUGAUAAGCCGGUUGUGAAAGCCCCGGGCUCAACCUGGGAACGGCAUCCGGAACUGUCAGGCUAGAGUGCAGGAGAGGAAGGUAGAAGUCCCGGUGUAGCAGUGAAAUGCGUAGAGAUCGGGAGGAAUACCAGUGGCGAAGGCGGCCUUCUGGACUGACACUGACGCUGAGGUGCGAAAGCGUGGGUAGCAAACAGGAUUAGAUACCCUAGUAGUC
rnacentral:rRNA from 1 species